rnacentral:rRNA from 1 species
GAUGAACGCUGACAGAAUGCUUAACACAUGCAAGUCGAUGGGGAAGUGGUGCUUGCCCCAUGGCAACCAUGGCGGACGGGUGAGUAACGCGUAAGGGACUUACCUGCAGGACUGGGAUAACAGGGGGAAACUCCUGACAAGACCGGAUAAUGUCAUGGAGCUGCAUGGCUUUAUGAUGAAAGGAGACGCCUGCGGAGAGCCUUGCGUCCUAUUAGCUAGUUGGUGAGGUAAUGGCUCACCAAGGCGAAGAUAGGUAGCCGGCCUGAGAGGGUGGACGGCCACAAGGGGACUGAGAUACGGCCCUUACUCCUACGGGAGGCAGCAGUGGGGAAUAUUGGACAAUGGGGGCAACCCUGAUCCAGCAAUUCUGUGUGCACGAAGAAGGUUUUCGGAUUGUAAAGUGCUUUCAGCAGGGAAGAAGUAAGUGACGGUACCUGCAGAAGAAGCGACGGCUAAAUACGU